AACGCACAUUGCGCCCCCUGGUAUUCCGGGGGGCAUGCCUGUUCGAGCGUCAUUUCACCACUCAAGCCUCGCUUGGUAUUGGGCGUCGCGAGUCUCUCGCGCGCCUCAAAGUCUCCGGCUGAGCGGUUCGUCUCCCAGCGUUGUGGCAACUAUUCGCAGAGGAGUUCGAGUCGUCGCGGCCGUUAAAUCUUUCAAAGGUUGACCUCGGAUCAGGUAGGGAUACCCGCUGAACUUAA
rnacentral:misc_RNA from 1 species